rnacentral:piRNA from 1 species
AGGUACAAAGCUGCCAAGAUGUGGGGUC